rnacentral:rRNA from 1 species
AUUUUGGACAAUGGGGGCAACCCUGAUCCAGCCAUGCCGCGUGAGUGAAGAAGGCCUUCGGGUUGUAAAGCUCUUUCGGCCGGGACGAAAUCGCACGUGUGAAUAUCGCGUGUGGAUGACGGUACCGGAAGAAGAAGGACCGGCUAACUACGUGCCAGCAGCCGCGGUAAUACGUAGGGUCCGAGCGUUAAUCGGAAUUACUGGGCGUAAAGCGUGCGCAGGCGGUUUUGUAAGCCAGAUGUGAAAUCCCCGGGCUUAACCUGGGAACUGCAUUUGGGACUGCAAGGCUUGAGUACGGCAGAGGGGGGUAGAAUUCCUGGUGUAGCAGUGAAAUGCGUAGAUAUCAGGAGGAAUACCGAUGGCGAAGGCAGCCCCCUGGGUCGAUACUGACGCUCAUGCACGAAAGCGUGGGGAGCAAACAGG